CGCUGGCGGCGUGCCUAAUACAUGCAAGUCGAGCGAGCAGAACCAGCAGAUUUACUUCGGUAAUGACGCUGGGGACGCGAGCGGCGGAUGGGUGAGUAACACGUGGGGAACCUGCCCCAUAGUCUGGGAUACCACUUGGAAACAGGUGCUAAUACCGGAUAAGAAAGCAGAUCGCAUGAUCAGCUUAUAAAAGGCGGCGUAAGCUGUCGCUAUGGGAUGGCCCCGCGGUGCAUUAGCUAGUUGGUAAGGCAACGGCUUACCAAGGCAAUGAUGCAUAGCCGAGUUGAGAGACUGAACGGCCACAUUGGGACUGAGACACGGCCCAAACUCCUACGGGAGGCAGCAGUAGGGAAUCUUCCACAAUGGACGCAAGUCUGAUGGAGCAACGCCGCGUGAGUGAAGAAGGUUUUCGGAUCGUAAAGCUCUGUUGUUGGUGAAGAAGGAUAGAGGCAGUAACUGGCCUUUAUUUGACGGUAAUCAACCAGAAAGUCACGGCUAACUACGUGCCAGCAGCCGCGGUAAUACGUAGGUGGCAAGCGUUGUCCGGAUUUAUUGGGCGUAAAGCGAGCGCAGGCGGAAGAAUAAGUCUGAUGUGAAAGCCCUCGGCUUAACCGAGGAACUGCAUCGGAAACUGUUUUUCUUGAGUGCAGAAGAGGAGAGUGGAACUCCAUGUGUAGCGGUGGAAUGCGUAGAUAUAUGGAAGAACACCAGUGGCGAAGGCGGCUCUCUGGUCUGCAACUGACGCUGAGGCUCGAAAGCAUGGGUAGCGAACAGGAUUAGAUACCCUGGUAGUCCAUGCCGUAAACGAUGAGUGCUAAGUGUUGGGAGGUUUCCGCCUCUCAGUGCUGCAGCUAACGCAUUAAGCACUCCGCCUGGGGAGUACGACCGCAAGGUUGAAACUCAAAGGAAUUGACGGGGGCCCGCACAAGCGGUGGAGCAUGUGGUUUAAUUCGAAGCAACGCGAAGAACCUUACCAGGUCUUGACAUCUAGUGCCAUCCUAAGAGAUUAGGAGUUCCCUUCGGGGACGCUAAGACAGGUGGUGCAUGGCUGUCGUCAGCUCGUGUCGUGAGAUGUUGGGUUAAGUCCCGCAACGAGCGCAACCCUUGUUAUUAGUUGCCAGCAUUAAGUUGGGCACUCUAAUGAGACUGCCGGUGACAAACCGGAGGAAGGUGGGGAUGACGUCAAGUCAUCAUGCCCCUUAUGACCUGGGCUACACACGUGCUACAAUGGGCAGUACAACGAGAAGCGAGCCUGCGAAGGCAAGCGAAUCUCUGAAAGCUGUUCUCAGUUCGGACUGCAGUCUGCAACUCGACUGCACGAAGCUGGAAUCGCUAGUAAUCGCGGAUCAGAACGCCGCGGUGAAUACGUUCCCGGGCCUUGUACACACCGCCCGUCACACCAUGGAAGUCUGCAAUGCCCAAAGCCGGUGGCCUAACCUUCGGGAAGGAGCCGUCUAAGGCAGGGCAGAUGA
rnacentral:rRNA from 1 species